GACGAACGCUGGCGGCGUGCUUAACACAUGCAAGUCGAACGGAAAGGCCCUGCUUUUGUGGGGUGCUCGAGUGGCGAACGGGUGAGUAACACGUGAGUAACCUGCCCUUGACUUUGGGAUAACUUCAGGAAACUGGGGCUAAUACCGGAUAGGAGCUCCUGCUGCAUGGUGGGGGUUGGAAAGUUUCGGCGGUUGGGGAUGGACUCGCGGCUUAUCAGCUUGUUGGUGGGGUAGUGGCUUACCAAGGCUUUGACGGGUAGCCGGCCUGAGAGGGUGACCGGCCACAUUGGGCCUGAGAUACGGCCCAGACUCCUACGGGCGGCAGCAGUGGGGAAUAUUGCACAAUGGGCGGAAGCCUGAUGCAGCAACGCCGCGUGCGGGAUGACGGCCUUCGGGUUGUAAACCGCUUUCGCCUGUGACGAAGCGUGAGUGACGGUAAUGGGUAAAGAAGCACUGGCUAACUACGUG
rnacentral:rRNA from 1 species